AGCUUCUCUCUACAAGAGAAAAAGAAGAAGAAACCUUCUGAGAGAGAGAUGCUAUUGAGCUGUUGAGGCUUUCAAAUCUCAGGGCAUGUUCUAUUUUAUUUAUAGCUUUAUUUUUCAAUUACUAUAUUGUGUUUUUUUCAGUUGGGCUUCUUAUCCUUUCUUCGAAGCAAUGUGACCACAUAGUAAACUGUUUUUGAGGAGUGUUUGCUGUUUGAGGUUACAAGAUGAAACCACAGAGUUCCUUAUCUUGUCUUUCUGCAUCUGUUUUCACAUGAGCUAGCAGAGCAAAAGAGCAAAGAAGUAACAACCGAAAACUCCUUUUUCUCCUCUCCCCACCCAUGUUUUUGAAGCCACAGGAGAAGUCCCUGUAGGAUCCAGCUGCUGGCUCUCUCUGGCUUUUUUUUGUCUCCAGACCAGUCUCUCGCAGGGCUGGCUGAUUGCAGGACCUGAUGCCUUCUCACCAGGCAUGAGUGGUAACCUUCCCCCGUGGACACUGUUGACACACCACGUCACACCUGAAAGGCAUCUUCUUCAUAAGCAUGUGGAGGUCUGAUAUGAAUACCAGAGUGGAAAGCUGCUGACACCCGACAGAGCCACAUAUAAGGACUGCCACGGUGAAGAGUUUUCAGGACACUCUGCGAGCUGGGCUGGCUCCGUCCUGCAGACAGAGUGUGACACUGGCACCCUGUUCCCAAAUAGCUGGAGUCAGACAUGGAGCUCAGCACACUGUUUCCUGGAACAGAUCCCCAAGUACCACAGAUAACUGUCUCAAGUUAAUGCUCCAGAUUGGGCAGCUCUUUAGGGUUUUAUUUUUAAGAAAUGUAUUUGCCAAGCAUAGGCAUAUUUGCUGAUCUGGAAUUUUCCUUGGACAUUAAACGAGCCAAUGGCAACAACGCAGGAGUCAUCCUUGUCAUAUGGGUCAACCACAUCUCUCUUUUUAAACAAGUCAGGCAUUUCCAGCCUCACAGCCCUGCCAGCUCCAUGCACACAUCCCAGCAGCGAGUGCAGGGCAGACUCAAUGCCUGGCAAACCCAGCCUGGUCAAAAGCAAAUGACAAAGGAAAAUACCCUUACCAAAAAAAGGUUAUUUUCUCUUAAGAAAUGCUCUUUCCUGCUUUUUAUCUCUGGUUUAAGGUUUUUUCAUAUGAUUUCAUGGCAUUUCAUCAGUCCUGCAUAUUAUAUGGGAAAACCUUAUUUUUUUUUAUUCUGUUUCAUUUAAAAACUAUUAAAACCAUCUGCCACUUAGUAAACACUAACAUACUUUCUUUUCUAGAUCAAAGUGUCUCCUGUCUGUGUUGUAAUGGAAGUUUGACGUUAUUUUUUUUACAAGACAGGCAGGAGACACUUUGAUCAGGUGCCAAACUGUUUCACUACAACAAACAGGCAACACUCUGAGCUAGAAAUGAUAAGAUGUUAUUAUGCGCCGUGAUGAUUUCAUGACAUGUCAGCCAUGAUGUUAAAAAACCCUACACAACAUAUAACUUUAAAAAUAUCACUGUGAAAUUCCAGAUUUUUUUUUAAAUGAACAACCUAUGAAUUGAAAGCAUUCCUAUUAUAUUUUUCGCCUACAGAUUUAUGACCUUUUUGUAGCAUAAUUGGCCACUUUUUUGAUUUAUUUUAAUUUGAUCACUAUCUCCUGUCAAAAACAUUUAAUUGAAAAAAUUCUGGUGGAUUCAACUUAAAAAGCAUUUUUAAAAAGCCUAUUUAUAGACGGAAUAUUAUUGUCCCUGUCAGAGAACAAAGAAAUCACCUGCUAGCUCUUUUGUCAUUUCUAAAUAAGUUAAUUGCUUCAGGGUUAUUUCAUCCAUAUUUCUCAAAUGCACUGCUCCGACCAGCCCCCCAUACAUGUUUGCCUUUUGUCCUGGGAUGCAGGAUAUGAGAGCCCAUGGCUUUCCAAUAACAUAAAUACUGCAGCUACACAGUGUGGAAAAAACAAACAAGCAAACAAAACCAUGCACAUUGUAAUUUCUAUCUUAAUUUGCAUUCUGAAGAGAAGAUGAGCUCUUCCAUAGUCACCUAUGCCAAGCACAUGGACACCGCAGACAGGCUGGGUGUGAGUGUGCAGCCCCUGACCACGGGAGCUGCAGGUGGAGCAGGCUGGUGAUGUGACCACUUCCCUGCGGAGCUGUUCCAGUGCCCAACCAUCCUCUGGGUGAAGAACCUUUUCCUGAUAUCCAACCUGAACCUCCCCUGACACAGCUCCAGGCUAUUCCCUCAGAUCCUGUCACCGGUCACCACAGAGCACAGAUCAGUGCCUGCCCCUGCUCUUCCCCUCACAAGGAACUUGAAGACUGCAAGGUCUCAUCCCCUCAGUCUCCUACACGAAGAACAGACCAAGAGAUUUCAGCCGCUCUCAUAUGGCUUCCCCUCCAGGCCCUUAAAUCCAGGGCCUGGGAGGCUAGAGGUUUGGGUUGGGCAUUGCCAACCAACCAGAAGCAAUGCUAUUAUUCUAUGAUUCCAGUUUUUCAAACAACUCUCCUGUCCUUUGCUGUGCUCCUGAUGAAGUUCUGAUGCAGUAGACUGGAGAUGGGACCAUUACUGCCACUGGUUAUUUUUGCUGGAAAUGGCUGUUGCUGUUUUUCAUUCUCAUUAACUUAGCCAGCAGUUUCUGGGAAACAGAAAAGUCAGUACUCUCUGCUGACCCUUCAAAACACAACCUAAGCUUUAGGAAACCUGUUGUUGGAGAGUUCUGGAUCCACAGACCUGCUCCCACUGUUGGGGCCACUGAGAAAGCACCGCUGGCUGUAGGGUGGCCGUGCCCCUGGGCACUGAAGGGCAUUAGCCCUGGUGCCUGGGCACAGUCUGCAAGAGCCCCAGGGAAGCAAGCUUCUGCAAAGCAGCUGGUGCCAAACACUGCCCAGGCUUGCAGAGCUAUAAUACAAUAAUAAAAUCCCUCCAGAUUCUUUUGGGGUGAGUGAAUGAAGACCGCUGCCUCUGAACUAAAUGCUACUUUUAAGAGGCUCAGUGGAGCUGGAGCAUUCUAUAACCCCAGUCUGAACACUGAAAUCCUCACCCAUCUGCACAGCUGAAAGAGAGCAGCCCCUUGCCUUCCCCAUUUUUGUAAACAAGGCUGCAACCUUUAUUCCUGCCUUGAGGAACAGAUUGAAUUGCUUUUGAUGAUGCAGAACAAUGUCAUCCUUUAUUCCCUCUUCAAAAGCAAUUAGUAUUUCAGCUUGAUUAUUUGCAGAUAAUAUGAGUCACCAGAUAAAACACACUGAAUACAAAAUGCUCCUUGGGAGGGAAAGAGAUAAAUGGUAUUUAAGGUUAAAAAUUCAGCAUAUGCUUAAAUAUCACAAAACUGUCACACAUCAAGGAAAAAAAUUCAGUCCUACUUCAUGAAACAGAAAGAUUGGCCCUGUGUUUGUUCAACCCCAAACCCUUAAUUAAUUUGUUGCAGGAUCAGGGCACCAUGACACCAAAGGCAGAUUGUGUCACUGUCACAGCACAAGAACAAAUUUGGUUCAACACGAUUUCAGAGUUGUCAAACUAUCCAAAAUUUCAGGUGAAAUAUGUAAUUUAAUCUUAAAAAACAAUUUCGGAAUAUUUUUUUUCUGUUAUUUCUUUUCUGAUUUCUAGCUUGGUGUAUUGCAGCUCGUUGAUAUUUUCAGCUCUUUUACCCAGAAACCCAAGGCUAGAAGCUGACUCAUUCUUAAUAGAAGGUACAAAUCUCACAGGAGCAGCGUAAUUUCAGGAACUCACAUUUUAAUGGGAACAUCAAAUCUAUCUGGCAUUAUGAUAAGGUCAUCAGAAAUUAGCAAUACUGAAGGUUUCUCCUGGGUUUGCUUCUAACAUAGAUGAUAGCUGAUAAAUCCUUUCUCCGUACUGAUGUUGCCAAGUAGCUUCAUUGGCAAACUUUGAAGUAUAUAUAGAAAUGGAGUUUUGUGAAAAUUUAGACCAAAAAUAAAGUUUGCUUUUCUCUUUUUCUGAAAAGAAAAUUAAUGUCUGAGAGUUUUCAUAUGCAACAUCUCAAAAGGGUGUAUGUGUUUUCAUUUCAACCUUUCCCUAGAUUAGAAAUGAAAUUCCCUAGAUUCCAUGGCUGGAACAGCCAUGAACUGCCAGGCUUUGCUGGAAGGAUUCUUCCUUCCCCCUGGGAUGUACAUCACUGCAUGCAAAACUGCUGUGGCCUUCUACAGAGUGUUUCACAUUUAUUUACAUUAGAUUUUAAGCAUUGAUACAAGAAUUUUUUCCUCUCUAAAUUACUAACAACUGAUACCUGUACUUUCCCAUCCCCAGAAGGAAAAUUUUUUAAAUAAAGGGGUGCUUGCCACUGAAGCAGUAUGGUGAAAUGUAAAACGAAUUGUGGUACAAGUUAAUUUUACCUCCAGAUUGCCUAUGAAUAGCCAUGCUGAGACAAAAUUAGAAAAUCCAUGGAAAGUGGAAGUGUUUUCCUCCGGGCUAUAGGGUGCAGAGGGGCAGCCCUCUCCUUGCCCUACAUGCCUCACCAGGGACAUAGCCCCCACAAGGAGCUCCUCGAGGGAAGGGUGGGUGGGCAGUGGCCAGCUGAAAGCUCCUGUAUCACCUGUCUUACAGGCCUUCCACCUCCUGGUCCCGCAGGCUCAGUAUGCAUGGCCUGGGGGGUCUAGGCACACGCAUGUGCUCUGCCAAAACCCAGAUUGUCCAGGAGCAAGUUAAAACACUGCAGGCUUUGAGGAUGCUCCAGUAGAAAAGCAGCCCCAAACCUCCUCACUGUCAACUCUUUAAAACAGAAAGGGACCCCUGCUAGACUAAUUCCUUCCCCUGUAAGAUUUCACUUGAUUUAUUACAAGCAAAUUAAGAGCAGCAAUAUUGUGAAAGGCAGAUGGAGAAAGCCCACGGCUGCAGGCUUCUCAGCAAGGCUUUGCUAAGCCCUGUACUCAGGGGCACAGACAGGUACAGUGCUCCAACCCAUCUGCUACACUCAGCUGCGUUAUUCUGAUCCCCAUUCGGUUUUCUCCCAUCCCAGGUAAGUAUUUGGUUUUCCCCUCUGUCAACUGGGGGCCACUUCUUCCUGAAGACAGAGCAGCUUGCAGUGAGCUGCAAACCAAAUCCACUCUUCAGAUCUGGGGUUUUCAUCAACUAUAUCUUCUGGCUUCUUUCACUUGUGAUUUUGCAAGUCUUUAUAAUCAGUUCUUACAAAUGCUUUAAGCAAGACCACUGAAGCACUUUGCAACAUCCUUCGGGAGCAUUUAUAAACAAGGUUGUGGUUCAUGUCAGGGACCAGCCUAACAUCACUUAGAGACAAACAUUUACCUCUAGGGUCAUGGAAAUAUUUCCAAAUAACUGUUCCUUACAGGGGUUCAGUGCUGUGGCCUGUCCAGAUGUUUGGUGCUCACCUCAGUCACCUCAUAGGGUCAGUGCAAGCAGGAAUGGUGGCCCUGGAGUAGCUGGCACCAGGGAAAAUGCCACUUACAGCACCAGAGACUGAAUUAAGUCAGCAAAAAAGCCCAGCUUCUUUUAGUAUGGACAUUCCUAUAAAUUCAUCAUGCUUUCAUGUCUAUGCAAAAGAUGCAAUAAGUUACCCCUGGAGCACCUUUGGAACUCCUUAACAUCUUACCUCCCGUGGCAGAAAGAUUCUACUCUGCAAAGUAGAGAAGUAACCACUUUCAGUACAUUAUAAAGCAGGUUUCACAGCUCCUCAGUGGUGCCAAGUUUCCAGCUUCUCUCGGGCUAUGCAAGGAAGAGAAAAUGAGCUCCCACAGGCCGCCUGUGAGGAAUGGAUCCUCAUUUCAAGCACCUGUAAGCGGGGUGGCAGGGCAGGAGGGGGAUGAAGCGCAAAGCAGGGCAGGCUGCAGCCCCAGGUGAGCCCACGGAGGGCACUCUGUUCUGGCAGCGGCCGGUUUCACAGAGAUCAUGAGUUUAAGCACAGAUCUAAUUGAAUUGCAGAUGUCUUUUCUGAUGGCUAUCUGCUAGCAAAGCUUCAAUUAAAGCAGGAGCAAAGGCAGAACGGGGAGGUUCUCGGUAAUAAAACUAAUGGAAGGAAGAGUGGCCAUUUACAGCAGCCUCCACAGAGAGCAUAAUGCAGGUAGUUUCUUUUAGCAAGAUUUUUUUUUGUUUUUGGGGUAUGGAGUGAGAGAUCUGAAACCUCAACAUAAAUACCCAGCUUCCAAAUCCUAGAGAUACUGAGUGUAUGGUGGACUGGAAAGCAGCUAACAGUAAUUUAAAUAAUACACAAAUAAACUCAUCUCCAUUGCUUCCAGUACUCCCUGAUGAACAACUUCAUCUGCUUUCCAUUCUGAAGGCCAUUGAGGUUUGUUCUUGACUUUGGUUUUAAAGGCUGAAAGGUUUUAUUCACUCCCCUUUUGUUGCUUCCAAGAUUAAGGUGGAUUUGCCCUGAGCUUGCACUUGCCAGAUCAGAACCUCUCAUCAUUUUACAGUGCCUUUAGAGCUCCAAAGAGGGAGAACUUUAACAGAGCUCUCAGUGCACCCAAACUACAAGACUGUAAAUUGGAGCAU